rnacentral:rRNA from 1 species
UACGGGGGGGGCAAGCGUUGUUCGGAAUUACUGGGCGUAAAGGGUUUGUAGGUGGCCUGCUAAGUCAGACGUGAAAUCCCUCGGCUUAACCGGGGAACUGCGUCUGAUACUGGAUGGCUUGAGUGUGGGAGAGGGAUGCGGAAUUCCAGGUGUAGCGGUGAAAUGCGUAGAUAUCUGGAGGAACACCGGUGGCGAAGGCGGCAUCCUGGACCAUUACUGACACUGAAUAGCGAAAGCCAGGGGAGCAAACGGG